GUACACUCCUACGGGAGGCAGCAGUGGGGAAUAUUGGACAAUGGGCGCAAGCCUGAUCCAGCCAUGCCGCGUGAGUGUUGAAGGCCCUAGGGUUGUAAAGCUCUUUCACCGGUGAAGAUAAUGACGGUAACCGGAGAAGAAGCCCCGGCUAACUUCGUGCCAGCAGCCGCGGUAAUACGAAGGGGGCUAGCGUUGUUCGGAUUUACUGGGCGUAAAGCGCACGUAGGCGGACUAUUAAGUCAGGGGUGAAAUCCCGGGGCUCAACCCCGGAACUGCCUUUGAUACUGGUAGUCUUGAGUUCGAGAGAGGUGAGUGGAAUUCCGAGUGUAGAGGUGAAAUUCGUAGAUAUUCGGAGGAACACCAGUGGCGAAGGCGGCUCACUGGCUCGAUACUGACGCUGAGGUGCGAAAGCGUGGGGAGCAAACAGGAUUAGAUACCCGUGUAGUCCCAUGA
rnacentral:rRNA from 1 species